AUACGUAGGGUGCAAGCGUUAAUCGGAAUUACUGGGCGUAAAGCGUGCGCAGGCGGUUUUGUAAGACAGUGGUGAAAUCCCCGGGCUCAACCUGGGAACUGCCAUUGUGACUGCAAGGCUGGAGUGCGGCAGAGGGGGAUGGAAUUCCGCGUGUAGCAGUGAAAUGCGUAGAUAUGCGGAGGAACACCGAUGGCGAAGGCAAUCCCCUGGGCCUGCACUGACGCUCAUGCACGAAAGCGUGGGGAGCAAACAGGAUUAGAUACCCUGGUAGUCCACGCCCUAAACGAUGUCAACUGGUUGUUGGGGAUUUAUUUUCUCAGUAACGUAGCUAACGCGUGAAGUUGACCGCCUGGGGAGUUCGGCCGCAAGGUUAAAACUCAAAUGAAUUGACGGGU
rnacentral:rRNA from 1 species